rnacentral:rRNA from 1 species
UUGAUCCUGGCUCAGGACGAACGCUGGCGGCGUGCCUAAUACAUGCAAGUCGAGCGGAUUUAUCCUUCGGGAUAAGUUAGCGGCGGACGGGUGAGUAACACGUAGGCAACCUGCCUAUAAGACUGGGAUAACUAUCGGAAACGAUAGCUAAGACCGGAUAACUGAUUUUCUCGCAUGAGAAAAUUAUGAAACACGGAGCAAUCUGUGGCUUAUAGAUGGGCCUGCGGCGCAUUAGCUAGUUGGUAGGGUAACGGCCUACCAAGGCGACGAUGCGUAGCCGACCUGAGAGGGUGAACGGCCACACUGGGACUGAGACACGGCCCAGACUCCUACGGGAGGCAGCAGUAGGGAAUCUUCCGCAAUGGACGCAAGUCUGACGGAGCAACGCCGCGUGAGUGAUGAAGGUUUUCGGAUCGUAAAGCUCUGUUGCCCUAGACGAACAGCAAGAGGAGUAACUGCCUUUUGUGUGACGGUAUAGGAGAAGAAAGCCCCGGCUAACUACGUGCCAGCAGCCGCGGUAAUACGUAGGGGGCAAGCGUUGUCCGGAAUUAUUGGGCGUAAAGCGCGCGCAGGCGGUCAAUUAAGUUGGGUGUUUAAGCCCGGGGCUCAACCCCGGUUCGCAUCCAAAACUGGUCGACUUGAGUGUAGGAGAGGAAAGUGGAAUUCCACGUGUAGCGGUGAAAUGCGUAGAGAUGUGGAGGAACACCAGUGGCGAAGGCGACUUUCUGGCCUAUAACUGACGCUGAGGCGCGAAAGCGUGGGGAGCAAACAGGAUUAGAUACCCUGGUAGUCCGCGCCGUAAA